ACGUAGGGUGCAAGCGUUAAUCGGAAUUACUGGGCGUAAAGCGUGCGCAGGCGGUUUCGUAAGUCUGUCGUGAAAUCCCCGGGCUUAACCUGGGAAUGGCGAUGGAGACUGCGAGGCUAGAGUUUGGCAGAGGGGGGUAGAAUUCCACGUGUAGCAGUGAAAUGCGUAGAUAUCGGGAGGAACAUCCGUGGCGAAGGCGGCCACCUGGACCAGCACUGACACUGAGGCACGAAAGCGUGGGGAGCAAACAGGA
rnacentral:rRNA from 1 species